rnacentral:misc_RNA from 1 species
GAUGAAGAACGUAGCGAAAUGCGAUAAGUAAUGUGAAUUGCAGAAUUCAGUGAAUCAUCGAAUCUUUGAACGCACAUUGCGCCCGCCAGUAUUCUGGCGGGCAUGCCUGUUCGAGCGUCAUUACAACCCUCAGGCCCCCGGGCCUGGCGUUGGGGAUCGGCGGAGCCCCCCGUGGGCACACGCCGUCCCCCAAAUGCAGUGGCGGUCCCGCCGCAGCUUCCAUCGCGUAGUAGCUAACACCUCGCGACUGGAGAGCGGCGCGGCCACGCCGUAAAACACCCAACUCUUCUGAAGUUGACCUCGAAUCAGGUAGGAAUACCCGCUGAACUUAAGCAUAUCAAUAAGCGGGG